rnacentral:rRNA from 1 species
AUACGGAGGGUGCGAGCGUUAAUCGGAAUUACUGGGCGUAAAGCGCGCGUAGGCGGUUUGUUAAGUUGGAUGUGAAAGCCCCGGGCUUAACCUGGGAGGGUCAUUCAAAACUGGCAGACUAGAGUGUGGUAGAGGGUAGUGGAAUUCCUAGUGUAGCGGUGAAAUGCGUAGAGAUUAGGAGGAACACCAGUGGCGAAGGCGACUGCCUGGACCAACACUGACGCUCAGGUGCGAAAGCGUGGGUAGCGAACAGGAUUAGAUACCCGGGUAGUCC